UCUCUAAACUUUUUCAAUAGAAAAGAUUCAAUUUCAUCAUCUUCUAAAUCAUUUCCUUUUAUUGCACAUGUGUAAGAAGUGACAUACUCAUUAAGAUCGGUGAUUCUAUUGUAUUUGGAAAUUUCUGGCAUGCGGAACUUCUUUGGAAUGGCCUUCAUAGCCGCACUUGGUGGAAAAGGAUUCUGUACAAACUUCUUCUAAUCCAAACCCUUUAGACUCGGAGAUGCCCCCAGUAUUUGAUCAACCCGUGAGUUGUAUGUCUCUACCUUUUUAUCGUUAGCCUCGAUUUUCUUUUCUCCUGAUUCAAUCCGUUUAUUGAGCUCUUCGAGCAUCUUCAUGAUGGCUGGAUCAGUUCCGGAUCCAUUAUUGUUUGGUUUCUCUGGUAUAGGUUCGACCCUG
rnacentral:lncRNA from 1 species